rnacentral:rRNA from 1 species
GAUGAACGCUGGCGGCGUGCUUAACACAUGCAAGUCGAACGAGAAGUGAAGACGGAAACCUUCGGGCGGAAGGCUUUAUUUCGAGUGGCGGACGGGUGAGUAACGCGUGGGUAACCUGCCUCAUACAGGGGGAUAACAGUUGGAAACGACUGUUAAUACCGCAUAAGACCGCAGCACCGCAUGGUGCGGGGGUAAAAACUCCGGUGGUAUGAGAUGGACCCGCGUUCGAUUAGCCAGUUGGCGGGGUAACGGCCCACCAAAGCGACGAUCGAUAGCCGAUCUGAGAGGAUGACCGGCCACAUUGGGACUGAGACGCGGCCCAAACUCCUACGGGAGGCAGCAGUGGGGAAUAUUGCACAAUGGGGGAAACCCUGAUGCAGCGACGCCGCGUGAGUGAAGAAGUAUUUCGGUAUGUAAAGCUCUAUCAGCAGGGAAGAAAAUGACGGUACCUGAGUAAGAAGCCCCGGCUAACUACGUG